UCCCCGGUGGCCUAGAGGUUAGGACUCAGCAUUUUCACUGCUGUGGCCUGGGUUCAGUCCCUGGCCUGGAAA
rnacentral:tRNA from 1 species